UCUACUUCUCCCGCUGCAGGAAAAAAAAGGCGGGAGAAGCCCCAGCAGAGUUUGAAGCUGCUUCU
rnacentral:miRNA from 1 species